rnacentral:rRNA from 1 species
GAUGAACGCUGGCGGCGUGCCUAAUACAUGCAAGUCGAGCGAACAGACGAGGAGCUUGCUCCUUUGACGUUAGCGGCGGACGGGUGAGUAACACGUAGGUAACCUACCUAUAAGACUGGGAUAACUUCGGGAAACCGGAGCUAAUACCGGAUAAUAUUUCGAACCGCAUGGUUCGAUAGUGAAAGAUGGCUUUGCUAUCACUUAUAGAUGGACCUGCGCGGUAUUGGAUAGUUGGUAAGGUAACGGCUUACCAAGGCAACGAUACGUAGCCGACCGGAGAGGCGGGUAGCCCGCACUGGAGCGUGGACAGGGUCCAGAGUCCUACGGGAGGGAGCAGUAGGCAACGGGCCGCAGAGGUGGAGAACCUGACGGAGCAACGCCGCGUGAGUGAUGAAGGUCUUCGGAUCGUAAAACUGUGUUAUUAGGGAAGAACAAACUUGGAAGUAACUGUACACGGCGUGACGGUACCUAAUCAGAAAGCAACGGCUAACUACGUG